rnacentral:lncRNA from 1 species
UGUUACUGAGGUCAGAGGGAGGUGAUCUCUGUCAGAUUCUAAAGCCUAUGUUUGCAGCAAGCAUCAUUGCUCUCUUACUGCCCCAGAAGGUUCAGAAGAAAAAUAAUACAGAGAAUAUAAACUUGUCAGGGCUUUAUGAACCUGGUCAAGAAAAUUAGUACAUGUAGAAAAGUUUCCUGGAAAGAAGCUCAAACAAUGAGGAGAAUAUGAAGUGAGAUCAUCAGCUAAGAGUUGAGGUUCCACAGAUGCUACUGGGGGAGAUGAAGAAGAUAUUUCUCUUAUUGCAAGAAAUGAGAAAAAUUUACUAGCAAAAUAUGAUAUGUGAUACCCCUUCCAAUUCUAGAAUUCAAUACACUUAUCUCAUUUUUCAAAGAAUUCCACAAACACUAAAUCAUAUAAAAGAUUAAACAAAGGGAGAUAACAGUUGCAGACAACUAGGAAACACUUUACGAUAGAGUGAAGAUUUGUCAGUUAAUAAAUAUGUGACCUUGGAUAAUUCAUUUUAUCUCUCUAAGCCUCAGUUUGGAUAUUGGAUAUCUCAGUGAGGAUUGUAAAGAUUAGUGAAAUAUAGCAAAGGUAAAGUUUCAAUGCACGUAACCAACAUAUGUUGAAGAACUUCUG